GUGAGGAAUAUUGCGCAAUGGAGGCAACUCUGACGCAGCCAUGCCGCGUGCAGGAAGAAGGCGCUACGCGUUGUAAACUGCUUUUAACCGGGAAGAAACCCCAGGACGUGUCCUGGGUUGACGGUACCGGAGGAAUAAGCACCGGCUAACUUCGUGCCAGCAGCCGCGGUAAUACGAAGGGUGCAAGCGUUAUCCGGAUUCAUUGGGUUUAAAGGGUGCGUAGGCGGAGCGUUAAGUCAGUGGUGAAAUCCUGCAGCUUAACUGUAGACUUGCCAUUGAUACUGGCGCUCUUGAGUGCGCUUGAAGUGGGCGGAAUGUGCCGUGUAGCGGUGAAAUGCUUAGAUAUGGCACAGAACACCAAUUGCGAAGGCAGCUCACUAAGGCGAUACUGACGCUGAGGCACGAAAGCGUGGGGAUCGAACAGGAUUAGAAACCCGUGUAGUCC
rnacentral:rRNA from 1 species